GACUCUGUAGCUCAGUGGUAGAGCGUACGAUUGCAAAUCGUGUUGUCCCGUGUUCGAACCACGGCAGGGUCU